rnacentral:lncRNA from 1 species
CAGAGCAGAAGUGCUUAUGGCACCUUACGGCAGCCAAGAAGCGGUGCACAGAGUGACCCUAAACCGAGGAGCUUUCUCUGUCUCCAUCUUUUGUCGCAUCCCAGCCCCAGCCUAUUGGGUGGUACUUCCCAAAGUCAAGGCUGGUCCUCCCUCUCAAGUUGCUGUCCCAGAUGUCAUUCAACCCUGGAAACACCCAGACAUGUCAUUUCUUCUCAAGCAUCUUUCAGUUUGGUCAAGUUGACAGUCAAAAUUAACCACUGUACAUCUGGAAAUGCCCCUGGGGAAGUUGUACCAUCUGACUCCAAAGAGUGUGCAGUGGUUAAUAUCUGCUAUUAAUUUGCGAGAAGGAGUUUGCCACCCGGGAGACAAAACUCUUGAGUAGGUCUAGAUUGGGUUGUGGGAAGACAACUCUUUCCUAAACGUGAGUAGCAUCAUUCUACCGGCUGUGGUCCCAAAAGGAGAGAGCACUGAGCAUCAAUAUUCUCCAUUGGUUGUUCCCGACAGUGGAUGAGGUGUGGCCAGCUGCCUCACACCCGCUACCACCAGGCCCUCCACACCGUAACAGACUGUGUCCUUGGGAACUAUAAGGCAAAAUAAUCUUUUCCUUCCUCUUUUCAUUUUGUCUCAUCAGUAAGAAAAGAGACAAAAGGUGAGUUUCCAUGCCUUGGGAAAAGAGGAACUUCAAGGGACCUGACCAAGCAAACCGUCAACAGUGUAGGGCCAACCCAGAGCCCAGGAUCCUGUGAACCUACAACUUUCUCCUUCUUCACAGACUGCUGAAAUCAGUAUUGGAAGCGGAUUCUGCUGAGACCUUGGCGGCAAGUGCUCUACCACUGAAUGUACCCUCAGCGCCAUACAAGGAAGGGAGAAAGCCUACACCAUGGCAGACUAAUAUGGCUGCACUGGGCUAGGACGUGGCAGUCAACGACAAUGCCAACAUUGUGUUGUGGUAAUGGCUACACAUCUCCGAGUAUCCCCCAUUCCUAUCAAUUCCCCGGGGAGAAAAUCAACUCCUCUUCCUCCUCCUCCUCCCCAUCCCCCCCCCCCCCCCCCCCCGUCCCAGUGUUGGUCUGAGAGUCUAGUGAUCCCGUGACUUAGGCUGGCUCUCAGGGGACGUUAGUUUGGCUUCACUUUUUACUGUUAGUCAUUAUUGGGUGUUCACUUCAGGACUCCUGGAAGAGUCCUCAUGUUAAACUUCCUAGGCUGUAUCUGGCCUUAGCUCCCUGUUUUGCUGUCAGGCCGCAGCUGGCUGGGGAAGGCUUGUUUGUUAUGGUUCGCCUGGGUUCCAAGUCUCCAGUGAUCAGCAGUCCUUUUAAAAAACAUCAUUUAUUGUUACUUUUGAGAGUUUCAUACAUGAGCACUGUAUUUAUGUACUUUCCACCCCAAACUCUUCCCUUCAGCUCCUCCCACAUCCCCACAUUCCCCUCAAUUUCAUGACCUCCUUUUUUAUCAUUAUUAUUACAUAUAGGUAUCAUAUGUAAAGUUUUACUUAUUUGUUUUAUGUAUAUACAUACUGUAGCUG